GACGAACGCUGGCGGCGUGCCUAAUACAUGCAAGUCGAGCGCAGGAAACUGACGGAACUCUUCGGAGGGAAGGCAGUGGAAUGAGCGGCGGACGGGUGAGUAACACGUAAGGAACCUGCCUCAAGGAUUGGGAUAACUCCGAGAAAUCGGAGCUAAUACCGGAUAGUUCAACGGACCGCAUGGUCCGCUGAUGAAAGGCGCUUCGGCGUCACCUUGAGAUGGCCUUGCGGUGCAUUAGCUAGUUGGUGGGGUAUCGGCCCACCAAGGCGACGAUGCAUAGCCGACCUGAGAGGGUGAUCGGCCACACUGGGACUGAGACACGGCCCAGACUCCUACGGGAGGCAGCAGUAGGGAAUCUUCCACAAUGGACGAAAGUCUGAUGGAGCAACGCCGCGUGAGUGAUGAAGGUUUUCGGAUCGUAAAACUCUGUUGUAAGGGAAGAACACGUACGAGAGGAAAUGCUCGUACCUUGACGGUACCUUACGAGAAAGCCACGGCUAACUACGUGCCAGCAGCCGCGGUAACAC
rnacentral:rRNA from 1 species